rnacentral:rRNA from 1 species
CCAGACUCCUACGGGAGGCAGCAGUGGGGGAUAUUGCACAAUGGGGGAAACCCUGAUGCAGCGACGCCGCGUGUGGGAAGACGGUCCUCUGGAUUGUAAACCACUGUCCCCAGGGACGAAGAUGACGGUACCUGGGGAGGAAGCUCCGGCUAACUACGUGCCAGCAGCCGCGGUAAUACGUAGGGAGCGAGCGUUGUCCGGAAUUACUGGGCGUAAAGAGUUCGUAGGCGGUAUGUUAAGUCUGGUGUUAAAUGCAGAAGCUCAACUUCUGUUCGGCACUGGAUACUGGCAAACUAGAAUGCGGUAGAGGUAAAGGGAAUUCCUGGUGUAGCGGUGAAAUGCUUAGAUAUCAGGAGGAACAUCGGUGGCGUAAGCGCUUUACUGGGCCGUAAUUGACGCUGAGGAACGAAAGCCAGGGUAGCAAAUGGGAUUAGAUACCCUAGUAC